AUUGUUCAAUGGCUGUGGUUUUUUGGGCAAACUUUCACUAACGCAGCAGAAGUUAAGGUCUGCCCCAGCUUCCAUGACCUGCAAGCUCCGCCCACUAAUUAUCAGCUAUCUGCAGAAUUCAACAAGGCAGAGAAUCAGAGAGAAAAUGAUGGUUGUUGAAUGUACAAUUGAUUGGCCUUGAAGCUCUGUGGAGCAGUGCCAACCCCUCAUGGUUUUGUUUUUGGAACGAAGCACGCUGCAGAUUAGGAAGUCCCACUCUUUUUUAGGCCAGCAGUGAUUGCAUAGAACUUUUCUCUGAGAAACCCAAGCAAACUUCCCUUAGUUUGUGCCUCUUGGUUUUCCUUUUUUUUUUGUGUGACAUACAACUGAACUAGAGGACUUGAAUUGGGUCAGAGGUAGAGCAUGAAGGUGAUGUUACAGAAGUUGGAUGAACACGAUAAGGUUAUGUGUUUUCUUCUGUCAGACCAAGGAACUGGAUAGCUCUUGCACAUUCUGCCUUCGUUAACUGCGGGUGCUUCAGUCUCCACAUCUGACGGAUAUGAUUAUUCUUACAUAGAAGUUAAUGUAUGAUCUUGGAAGAGCUGUUCCAGAAAAAGAAACAUACAUCUGCAGUGAGACCUUCCAAUCUUCAAUGUAGAGCUUCUUUCAAGUGAUUGGUUGCUCUUAUGCAAAAUGCAAGUGCAAUAAGAUUAGAUCGCACAUGACCUGUAAUGUACCUGUAGAUGUGGUCAUAUUUUUGGACGUUCAACCAUGGUUUUCUUGGCUCACCCGAGAGAAGAGCAGGCUGGCUGACCGGAAAAACUAGGCGGUCUCACAUUUUGUAUAAAAUAGUACACGUGUUUUUUCUUUAACCAAACCAUUGUACACUUUGCUAAAAGCAUAUGUAUAUCUCAGUU